GCGCAUAACAACCCUGCCCCUCCAAUCAAGAGUUCUCUCUCAGCUGGAUGUGCUGUCUGACAAACUUCUGAAGGUUUUUGAGAAGAGAGGAGGACAGAUAGGCCAGCGUCUGAACUGUAUUAUGUCAAACAUGACUCAAGUUGAUGUCGAUUUAGGGCGGGAAUGUCUUCUCAAGGGGCUGUGUGUGCACCUCUGUGUGUAUACCCCAAUGAGGACCCAGAAGUGCUGAGAGAGUUUGUGGCAGAAGAUGAAGACGUCAUUCUGCGGUCCAUUCAGGGGAUUAUAGUGGGCCUUUAUGUUGUCAAACACAAUUCCACCAUGAGACCAGAGGACAGAGGAGACCAGAGGACAGAGGAGACCAGAGGACAGAGGAGACCAGAGGACAGAGGAGGACAGAGGAGACCAGAGGACAGAGGAGACCAGAGGACAGAUGAGAGCAGAGGACAGAUGAGAGCAGAGGACAGAUGAGACCAGAUGACAGAUUGUCCUGGAAGGCCAACAGGUACUAACCGAUGUGGACAACAUUGCAUUAGCUGCUACCAUGCAGUUUGGACUCAUGUAUGCCAUGAACCUGAACUACCCCCCUAAACUAAAUUGCACGUUGGAAGUGCUCCAAAAAAAUGUAAUGGAGCUAGACGGCAACAUGCUCUCCAAGAAAGCACAAGCGUUUUUCAACGUGCAUUUGAGUGAGCUGUUGCCAUGGACCAUUGCUGAUUGGUCCACCUGAAGAUACAGGAGUAUUUCAGCUGCAGCCAUGUAGUCCAUCUGCCCUCUCACCGACCUCUCCUACUCCCAACUCUGUGUCUGUGGUAAAAGAUCUGAUCUGUUGUUCUGUGUUGUACAUUUUUGUAUUAUUGUAAAGCUAAGCUAUAAUGUAACCUGUCUUGAGGACACGCUUUGUUUUGUUUAGGAGUGAGAAACCCUUUUCGUUUGAACCCCUUUUUCUCCUGUUUUUCUGGUAGGAGUUAGGUAAGAAGCCUGUAUUUUAUUUUUAUUUUUUUCGGCUAGGCUUUGGCGUUUUUUGUUAAUGAGUUACAAAAAUAAGCAUUUUUUGGCCAUUUGGCCGAAUAAACCUUUAUCCUAGUCGGGAGAAUAGUUUCCUUUAAGCUUCCUUGCUGUGUUCUAACACAAUAAUGUAUAUAUACAUCACAAACAUUUUCUAUUUAUUGUAUUUCUUUAUUUUCAAUGUAUUUGUUAAUUCUCCUGGCAUACUUUAGGCUGCAUGAUGGAAAAACCAAAAGCUCAUCUGGAUGUGUGGUGGUUGUUAAUAUUGUUUUAUUUUUUGAGAAAAAUGCAUGAAUGUUGUUCAAAGAAAUGUGUUUGUCUUUAUUGACUAUUUGUUUUAAAAUGUUGUGAUAAAUGCUGUAGAUAUAAGAGAUUAGGAUGGAUCCUGUAGAAGAAUGUACGAAAUGCCUCUAAUUACAUAAAAUCAAUAAUCUUAUGUACCCCUUGAGCACUAGGUAGAUUAAACAGAAAACUAUAGCAUGUAAUUUAAACAAAACAUUAAUGUGGCUUUAACAGGUACAAAUGAAAUAUACUGAGCAUAUUAAAAGCCUAAAAUGAACAUUAAAAAGUCAUGUUGGUUAAACAUAGGGUAAAUGAAUAUACCUAUAUUCAAAUGAACAUAACAAUUUACUGUUUCUUUGACAUAACAUAGUUGUGUGUCUUUAACAUAAUGGAAUAGUUUUAAGUUCACAUGUUUUUAAUGUGUGCAACCGGUUUCCAUAUUAAAAUCAUGUGAAUCCAACAGCCUUUUUUUCAGUGUAGGAGAAUUAACAAAUACAUUGAAAAUAAAGAAAUAGAAUAAAUAGAAAAUGUUUGUGAUGCAUGUACAUAUACAUUAUUGUGUUCGAACACAGCAAAGAAGCUUAAAGGAAACUAUUCUCCCGACCUAAAUAAAGGUGUAUUGGGCCAGAUGGCAAAGAAAGGCUUAUUUUUGUAACUCAUUCAUGUAAACAAUUAACAGAAAAUGUCAACGCCGAAAAAAUGAAAUGUUCUUGCAAAUCCAUUAUUGAAAUAGUAACCUGCUAAUAUGAAAGGGCACUUUAAUACAAGAAAGAAAUGGCAUUGCUUUGGAAAAACACAUGAAAGUAUAAUAAUGGCCUGGUUUCUCACCACAUAUGCACUAAAGAAAGUAUUACAAAUAAAAACAAGAACUGACAUUUUGAAGUAGCGCAAUUAGAUCAAGACAAUUCUGCAAAUCUGACAUCGCACUUUGAUGCAAGUGGUACAUUCUGAAACACAUGGAAAAACACACAUUUUUUAAACAUGCAAAUCAAUACAGCACAAAGCAUGAGCAAAGGAAGUGCAAGACAGUUGUAUCGAUGAAAGUCCAGUAUGAAUGCUGUAAAA